rnacentral:lncRNA from 1 species
AAGGGGUUAUCUCGGUAAUUAAUAAUAAGAUAAAUUUUAGUUUUUUUUUUUUNAAAAAAAAAAAAAAAAAAAAAAAAAAAAAGCAUACAACUCUCUUAUAUGAACCAAGUUUUCUAUCGUAUAUCGUACGUAGACAACUAAUUAAUGUUGAAUGCAAUGUUUGCUGCUGUUUCAUUUUGGCUAUUUUUAAGGGGAGGAUUACUUACUAUUUUGUUUGCUUUUUGUUGGAGCCAGUUUGUGUGAAUCCUACGUUAGUUCAAUCGAUCGCAGUAAAGAAAGGGGUUAUCUCGGUAAUUAAUAAUAAGAUAAAUUUUAGUUUUUUUUUUUUGUGUUUUAGCAUAUUUUUAUUUUGUCACUCUGUCGUUUAAAAAGUUACGCUUAACUAUUUUACAUUUUUACAAAUCUGUUAUAAAAUAAGAUAACAAAGUAAAUUUUUUUUGUAAAUCGCAGAAUAAUAUUCAGUUUAAUGAUAGAUCGUCAUAGUGAAAUAAAAAUAAAAUUAUUAGAGUAGUUAAGUAUAAUUUUUUGAAUUAUAUGAUGGCAAAAUAAAAG